ACGAACGCUGGCGGCGUGCUUAACACAUGCAAGUCGAACGGAGCUAUCUCACCGAGACGGAUUUAAGCUUGCUUAUUGAAGGAUCACCGAGAUAACUUAGUGGCGGACGGGUGAGUAACGCGUGAGGAACCUGCCUUUCAGAGGGGGACAACAGUUGGAAACGACUGCUAAUACCGCAUGACACAUCGAAGCGGCAUCGCUUUGAUGUCAAAGAUUUAUCGCUGAAAGAUGGCCUCGCGUCUGAUUAGAUAGUUGGCGGGGUAACGGCCCACCAAGUCGACGAUCAGUAGCCGGACUGAGAGGUUGAACGGCCACAUUGGGACUGAGACACGGCCCAGACUCCUACGGGAGGCAGCAGUGGGGAAUAUUGCACAAUGGGGGAAACCCUGAUGCAGCAACGCCGCGUGAGGGAAGAAGGUUUUCGGAUUGUAAACCUCUGUCCCUGGUGACGAAGACAGUGACGGUAACCAGGGAGGAAGCCACGGCUAACUACGUGCCAGCAGCCGCGGUAAUACGUAGGUGGCAAGCGUUGUCCGGAUUUACUGGGUAUAAAGGGAGCGCAGGCGGGAGAGCAAGUCAGCGGUGAAAUACAUGGGCUUAACCCAUGAACUGCCGUUGAAACUGUUUUUCUUGAGUGAAGUAGAGGCAGGCGGAAUUCCGAGUGUAGCGGUGAAAUGCGUAGAUAUUCGGAGGAACACCAGUGGCGAAGGCGGCCUGCUGGGCUUUUACUGACGCUGAGGCUCGAAAGCGUGGGGAGCAAACAGGAUUAGAUACCCUGGUAGUCCACGCUGUAAACGAUGAUUGCUAGGUGUGGGGGGUCUGACCCCUUCCGUGCCGGAGUUAACACAAUAAGCAAUCCACCUGGGGAGUACGACCGCAAGGUUGAAACUCAAAGGAAUUGACGGGGGCCCGCACAAGCGGUGGAGUAUGUGGUUUAAUUCGAAGCAACGCGAAGAACCUUACCAGGUCUUGACAUCCGACUAACGAAGUAGAGAUACAUUAGGUGCCCUUCGGGGAAAGUCGAGACAGGUGGUGCAUGGUUGUCGUCAGCUCGUGUCGUGAGAUGUUGGGUUAAGUCCCGCAACGAGCGCAACCCUUACCGUUAGUUGCUACGCAAGAGCACUCUAAUGGGACCGCCAUCGACAAGAUGGAGGAAGGUGGGGACGACGUCAAAUCAUCAUGCCCCUUAUGACCUGGGCUACACACGUACUACAAUGGCUGUAACAGAGGGAAGCGAACCAGUGAUGGUAAGCGAAACCCGAAAAGCAGUCACAGUUCGGAUUGAAGGCUGAAACUCGCCUUCAUGAAGCCGGAAUUGCUAGUAAUGGCAGGUCAGCAUACUGCCGUGAAUACGUUCCCGGGCCUUGUACACACCGCCCGUCACACCAUGAGAGCCGGUAAUACCCGAAGUCAGUAGUCUAACCGCAAGGAGGACGCUGCCGAAGGUAGGAUUGGCGAUUGGGGUG
rnacentral:rRNA from 1 species